rnacentral:rRNA from 1 species
CGGACGGGUGAGUAACGCGUGGGUAACCUGCCCCAUAGAGGGGACAACAGCUGGAAACGGCUGCUAAUACCGCAUAGCAGGGAAGAGACGCAUGUCUUUUCCUUCAAAGAUUUAUCGCUAUGGGAUGGACCCGCGUCUGAUUAGCUAGUUGGUAGGGUAACGGCCUACCAAGGCGACGAUCAGUAGCCGGCUUGAGAGAGUGGACGGCCACAUUGGGACUGAGACACGGCCCAGACUCCUACGGAAGGCAGCAG